rnacentral:rRNA from 1 species
AGUUUGAUCCUGGCUCAGAUUGAACGCUGGCGGCAGGCCUAACACAUGCAAGUCGAGCGGUAGCACAGAGAGCUUGCUCUCGGGUGACGAGCGGCGGACGGGUGAGUAAUGUCUGGGAAACUGCCUGAUGGAGGGGGAUAACUACUGGAAACGGUAGCUAAUACCGCAUAAUGUCGCAAGACCAAAGUGGGGGACCUUCGGGCCUCAUGCCAUCAGAUGUGCCCAGAUGGGAUUAGCUAGUAGGUGGGGUAACGGCUCACCUAGGCGACGAUCCCUAGCUGGUCUGAGAGGAUGACCAGCCACACUGGAACUGAGACACGGUCCAGACUCCUACGGGAGGCAGCAGUGGGGAAUAUUGCACAAUGGGCGCAAGCCUGAUGCAGCCAUGCCGCGUGUGUGAAGAAGGCCUUCGGGUUGUAAAGCACUUUCAGCGGGGAGGAAGGCGUUAAGGUUAAUAACCUUGGCGAUUGACGUUACCCGCAGAAGAAGCACCGGCUAACUCCGUGCCAGCAGCCGCGGUAAUACGGAGGGUGCAAGCGUUAAUCGGAAUUACUGGGCGUAAAGCGCACGCAGGCGGUCUGUCAAGUCGGAUGUGAAAUCCCCGGGCUCAACCUGGGAACUGCAUUCGAAACUGGCAGGCUAGAGUCUUGUAGAGGGGGGUAGAAUUCCAGGUGUAGCGGUGAAAUGCGUAGAGAUCUGGAGGAAUACCGGUGGCGAAGGCGGCCCCCUGGACAAAGACUGACGCUCAGGUGCGAAAGCGUGGGGAGCAAACAGGAUUAGAUACCCUGGUAGUCCACGCCGUAAACGAUGUCGAUUUGGAGGUUGUGCCCUUGAGGCGUGGCUUCCGGAGCUAACGCGUUAAAUCGACCGCCUGGGGA